AGUACAGGAUGGACCCGCGUCUGAUUAGCUAGUUGGUAAGGUAACGGCUUACCAAGGCGACGAUCAGUAGCCGACCUGAGAGGGUGAUCGGCCACAUUGGAACUGAGACACGGUCCAAACUCCUACGGGAGGCAGCAGUGGGGAAUAUUGCACAAUGGGCGAAAGCCUGAUGCAGCAACGCCGCGUGAGUGAUGAAGGCCUUCGGGUCGUAAAACUCUGUCCUCAAGGAAGAUAAUGACGGUACUUGAGGAGGAAGCCCCGGCUAACUACGUGCCAGCAGCCGCGGUAAUACGUAGGGGGCUAGCGUUAUCCGGAUUUACUGGGCGUAAAGGGUGCGUAGGCGGUCUUUCAAGUCAGGAGUGAAAGGCUACGGCUCAACCGUAGUAAGCUCUUGAAACUGGGAGACUUGAGUGCAGGAGAGGAGAGUGGAAUUCCUAGUGUAGCGGUGAAAUGCGUAGAUAUUAGGAGGAACACCAGUUGCGAAGGCGGCUCUCUGGACUGUAACUGACGCUGAGGCACGAAAGCGUGGGGAGCAAACAGGAUUAGAUACCCUGGUAGUCCACGCUGUAAACGAUGAGUAC
rnacentral:rRNA from 1 species